rnacentral:rRNA from 1 species
UACGUAGGGGGCGAGCGUUAUCCGGAUUUACUGGGCGUAAAGCGCGUUAAGGCGGUUGGCCAAGGUGGUUGUGAAAUCUCAGGGCUCAACCCUGAAAUUGCGACCAAUACUGGUCGACUAGAGUGUGAGAGAGGAAGGUGGAAUUCCCGGUGUAGUGGUGAAAUGCGUAGAGAUCCGGAGGAACACCGACGGCGUAGGCAGCGCCCUGGCUGUGAAUAAAGCUGACACUGAGGCACGAAAGCUGGGGGGGCAAACAGG